GCAGGCGUGGUGGAAUGGCAUACACAUGUCACUUAAAAUGACACGCUUAAUUGAUUGAGGGUUCAAGUCCCUCCGCCUGCACCA
rnacentral:tRNA from 1 species